rnacentral:rRNA from 1 species
CCCUUAGAUGUUCUGGGCCGCACGCGUGCUACACUGAACGGUUCAAUGGGUAAGGUAGUGCGAAAGCAUGACCUAAUCUCGAAAUCCGUUCGUGCUGGGGAUAGAAGCUUGCAAUUAUCCUUCUUGAACGAGGAAUACCUUGUAAGCGUGAGUCAUCAUCUCACGCUGAAUACGUCCCUGCCCUUUGUACACACCGCCCGUCGCUCCUACCGAUUGAGUGUUCCGGUGAGGCUUUGGGGGAAUGGCCUCAACAUGAGUUUAUCGUGUUUUGCCGUUUGAACUUAGUCAAACCUUAUCACUUAGAGGAAGGAGAAGUCGUAACA